rnacentral:sRNA from 1 species
AAAAUGGCGGACCUGGCGAACGAAGUCCCCUGCAGAGCAAAAAAACUUGUCGGAUUCGGGAGAGGAGCCUCGGGGGGAGGCUGAGGCCCCCCACCAUGGCACGGGUCACCCCGAGUCAGCUGGCGAGCAUGCCCUAGAACCUCCUGCCCCUGCUGGCGCCUCAGCCAGCACUCCUCCGCCUCCCGCUCCUGAAGCCCAGCUUCCUCCUUUUCCGCGAGAACUGGCAGGGCAGGAAGAAGAAAAGACUCUUCCUUUGAACCCAGAAGGAAUCCCCUGAGCCCUUUAUCUUUGUAUUAAGAAGCCUUUUGAAGAUUAUAGGUGGAGAAGAUUGUGAACUCUCAAGAACAAGAAAUGUCUUGGGUUUUUGAAGUUUGAUAAAUUGGGAAAGAGGUCAGCUGGCGGCUCCAGUCCUGAAGGCGGAGAAGAUUCUGACAGAGAAGAUGGAAAUUACUGCCCUCCUGUCAAGCGAGAAAGAACGUCCUCUUUAACCCAGUUCCCACCCUCACAGUCAGAGGAAAGGAGCAGUGGCUUCCGGUUGAAGCCACCAACGCUGAUCCACGGCCAAGCCCCCAGCG